rnacentral:tRNA from 1 species
AUUAAUGUGCCUGAAAAAGGGUUACAGUGAUAUUGUAAAAAUGUAUACUACUACCGUUAAUU